UACAGAGGUCUCAAGUGUUGUUCGGAUUCAUUGGGCGUAAAGGGUGUGUAGGUGGCGCGCUAAGUCGGGUGUGAAAUUUCGGAGCUUAACUCCGAAACUGCAUUCGAUACUGGCGUGCUUGAGGACUGGAGAGGAGACUGGAAUUUACGGUGUAGCAGUGAAAUGCGUAGAUAUCGUAAGGAAGACCAGUGGCGAAGGCGGGUCUCUGGACAGUUCCUGACACUGAGACACGAAGGCCAGGGGAGCAAACGGG
rnacentral:rRNA from 1 species